rnacentral:lncRNA from 1 species
CAAUGAUGAUCAACCUAUCUGGUUAUAGUUUAUCGAUUUCAUAGAUUAAGGGUAACUGUUUUCAUUUCAUAUCUCACCUGAAAAAGUGUAUCCUGGUCAACUCUGGUAUUAAGGACCACUGCUAUGUGCUUGAUGAGGUUUUCUUGAUUAAUCAACAUAAAAAUACUUUGCAAGCUCUUGGUGAAAGGAUUUAAUGAAAUAUCAUCUCUUAGACUGCAAGAGCUAGAAAGUUUUUGAGUAGAGGAAAAUAAACAGUGUUUCAAGAAAGAACCAAUUGAAUAAAACAAAAACAAUUAGAUAUUAAACACAAUAUAAUUAGGUUUCCAAAUACAUGAUGCUCUCAAUAUCAUCCCAAAAAGUCGUCUGCAUAAACCUGCUUCCCCAAAACCUAUCAACUAUUCUCAUUCCAUUAAUGAGUUUUGUUAUCUUGCACCUCUCCAAAUCAUAAAUGACACAGCGUGGAUUAUGCCGACAGAUUUCUUCCGGUGUCAGACAAAUUUCACUGCUGUGACUUGUGGGUUGUAUCAGCAACCUGCUGGCCAUGGACAGUGUGCGCGUUUCGAAAAUAGGCAAAACAAAAGACUUCUUCUCCGACCAUCCACUCUUGCCCGCAUCCUGAACAAACCAUAAAUCUAUGCUACCAUUAAUCAUAAUUCUUGAAUAUUCAAACACAGCUAGUUUGCCUUUGUAGUUCAUGAGAUUCAUGUAACGCGCCUCCCAUACAAUGCCAGCCUCAACAGGCAGUUCGAUCAAAGUGAACUCCUCAUAUCUCAUGUCAAAACUCAUGACCACACAUUUAUUUUUGACAACCCAAGCUCCAUAAUACAAAACACCGUUGAUGGAGAUACCAUGCAUGUAAGGACAGUGAGGAGGGGGAGGACUGGUGCUUAGGGUGCUUCUCCAUGAAGCUCCAUGACCAAGUACCAACACCUGAUGCUCAGAUCUCAUUAUUAUCUCUUCCUCGCUCACCUCCCAAACUGUACUAAGCACUUUGUAUUCAUCAUGAACAGGUUCGUGCCCAAAGUAGCUCCAAAUAUUCUCAUUAUUUUCAGGCACAAUUCUUGAUGUUAUAAUGGGCAAGGUCACACGUUGCAUGGUGGUAAGGUUACAUAUUCGAACACUUCUCAGAAGUCUGACACAUAGCAAGCCGCGAAGAGCGCUGACAAAGCAGCCUCCUAUUCUCGGCAUGGUAAGAUCUUGGUCGAGGUCAUACAUGGGGGCAGGGUAGAAAGGUGAUAUGAGAGGGACAGGGUCAUGAGACGAUGAGAUCAACGCAUACUUGUACGGCUCGUCAGAGUCCACAAAAGACAUGAGCAUACGGCUUCUUUGAACCGACGGUGAUGAAUAUUUAAGGAAAAGAUUGGUAAGAUAUCGGGAAGUGAUAAGGGAAUACCAGAGCCUUGACACACACUUGAACCUCAUCAGCGAUUUGGCCGGCAAUCUCGGCAGGAUCUCCAUCAAUAGCUCAUCCAGGAGGUUCCAUGCAGGUUUCACGACAGUCUUGCUUCUCUUUCUGGCGGCUGCUAGGCGAAACGAAAAACUCAUUGUACUUUUGUAUGUCAACUCCAAAUCUCUGAGCCUCUUCUUAUAAGGAGACACAUUAGUUUCUAAUUUGUGUAGGAAUAGUUUUUUACUUUUUUUUAUCACGAGAUGUAUAUUUCCUUUUUUUAUUUUUUACAACUAUUUAAUUUAUAUAAAAUAUAAAAUUACAUAUAAAAUAAUAAAUCUAAAACUAAAAGAUAACAUUACAUGGAAUAAAAUUUGAAGUAGCUUUCUUACGAAGCUCUUACUGCGGUGUUCAUGUUUGGAUAUUGACAAUAUGAAACUCUAAACUUUUUCAUUGUUUUCUUUAUUGUAUAAAAUUGGUCAACUUCCAAUUUUGAUCUAUAGAUGUUCAUCAAUAAAAAAAUCCAAUAUAAUGAUUCAAAAAAAAAAAAUUUGGAAUGACCAAUUUAACAAUUCUAGAAACAUCGCCAUACAACAAAGAAAUUACUACCUCUCCAACUUCGUUGUACUUCUUCCAUGGUUUCCAUAAUAAACCGGUUAGAAUAAGUUUGGUACCACCUAAAUUUGAAAGCAACUUGGCAUUGAUCAUGGUCACGAAGGCCAUACCAGAGAUGAAACAACAGAUUGGAAGAAGAGAUAAUUAACAACCAAUUCAUUGUGAGUAAAUCUGUACGUUUAAUCCAUUAUAGAGAAGACCAAAAUACAUACAUAUAGAUUUAGCAGAAAAAACAAUACAUAUAGAUUGUUUUGAAAUAAAAUCUUGAGAUGCAUACGGAGAGAGUAUGUGUACGCAAGACACCAAAGUUUAUUUUUGUAUUUGUUUUGAAAAGUUUGAAUAUUAGCGGCUUUUUCUAUUUUGGAUCAGAAAAAUAUAAGUGCUUUUACUUACUUCUAAAAGUGAGAACCAUUGAAAGGUAAUAUCUUUCUAAACGAAACAAAAAAAACUGAACUUUCAGUUAGUUUAACUUUCAAUUUUUAAAAUUAUCCAUUUUGACCUUAUUAUUGUUGAAUAUGUAAUUUUUGAUAAACAAAAAAAGUCAACCACUAAAUCGAUUUAACACACUUUUCAUGUAUUAUAAACAGUGUGGUCAACAAACAAAAGAUUUAAAAUGUAUUUUUUUAAAGGUAGAGAUUAAACUGGCUUAAAUAAAAAUUGGAUAUUAUUUUGGUUUUUCCGUAAGUUAAAGUUUUUUUUUUUAUAGUUUUUCCAAUUUAAAAUAUACUAUUUAUUAAAUAAAAUAUAAGUAAAUUAUUUUUUAAAACUAAAAUUUAUUAUUAAAUGUUAACUUAAUCUAAAAUAAAAAUCAAAUUAGAAAUAGCUAAGCCAAAUAAUUAACAGCUAAUUUAUUUAUCAAUUUUAUGAUUUAAUCGUCAAUUGCUCAACUUAUAUUCCUUUUGUCUCACAAAUAAUGUCAUGAGAAAAUUUCAAUACAUUUUAUACUUACUUUAUGUUUAAUAUUAUUUACAAAAUAUAUUGAUUUUCUAAAUAUUGUUAUUUAUCUCUAAUUAUAUUGGUUAGAUAUAUGUAACUAAUAAAAAAACAUAAAUAUAUUUCAAUUAUUUUUAAUAUGUGCGAAAAGUUUAAAACGACUGUAUUUGUGAAACAGAAAAGGUAUGUUUUAUCUUUCUUAAACACGAAUAAGCUUAAUAAUAUAUAAAUUUGAUUAAUCGUUUUUCACUAAUUAAUAAAUUUAUUUAAAAUUUUAGUUAUGUAACUAUCCGAGAAUUUUGACUUGAUUAUUUUUGUCUAGAUUUUGUAUUUGGUAAGACACAUUUAUAAAUAAUUUUCACAAAAUAUAUAUACAUUUGUACAAAUUUAUAUAUAUAUAUAUAUAUAUAUAUAUAUAUAUAUAUAUUAUUCGUUAUUGAUGUGGAAUUAUUUCAAUAUGUGUAGUCAUAUUACUGUUUUCUAUAGCUCAGGUACACAUGUGUACAUAAUAGUUAUAUAAAAUCACAAAUUUAUCAAGAGUUUUACUAUUUACAAAGCAAACUAAAUACUAUACAAAAAUAAUAUCUUAUGUCACUCAAACAAAAAUAUAAGUAAAUAAUAUUUAAAAAUAUUUACAAUGGUAUCAUAUAAGUUUAUAUGCAUAAAAAUAUACAUUUACAUUUAUAAAUACAGUGUAUGAAUUUGUAAAUGCAAAUAAGCAAAUAAUUAAAUGGUGAUAAACUUAAGGGGGUAAUUUUAUAAAAUAACCAUAUGUAAGAAAAAUGGCACAUUAUAGUUUAAAGAAAUUUUGAUAAAAAUAAAAGUUAUUGUUACAAACAAUACACAGUUUAUUAAUAUAAACAUCAUCCGUGCAGCGCGGGUGAUCAAUAAGAAAGACGUUAUAAAAAAAAAAAAAAACAUCAUCCGUGCAGCGUGGGUGACGAAAAGAAGAAGAGAAAAAACAAAGUUUUCUAAAAAGUUACUAAUUGUUGCAUACUCAUUCUUCAUUCAUCAUCAUCGCUCGCUCUAGAGAGAAGAAAGAUGGCGAACGUUGCGAACGACGGAAUCAUGGCUGAGGUGAAUCGCAUGUUGGAGGAGAUGUUUCUGCUUGAGACGGGAGUAAGUAUUCUAUUUCUGAUACUGUCGAUUUCUCUUGAUUUAGUGUGGCCGUUUUCGGAAUCGUGAGGAGUACGUAGUGUCGCCGCCGCGAGCGACAGUGUCGGAGGCGAGACGGUGGUUUCGAAAUCGGAAUAGUUUCGCCGUCUCUGUGUCGUCGCUCGCAGUUUUUCGAAAUCGUUAUCAACGGUGUAGAUGUAGUUAACAUCGGUGCUUGUGAGCGACGGUGGUUUCGAAAUCGUAACAGUCUCGCCUGUGUCUGUGUCGUCGCUCGCCGUUUUCGAAAUCGUUAUCUAUGGUAUCAUCGCAGUAGUUAACGUCGUUGUUUGUGAGCGACGGUGUUUUAGUAGUUAGUAUCUGCGGAUUGGAUCGUAAACGAAAUUGUGGAUUCUCUUUUUUUUUUGUGCUCGAUCUGUAGUAGAAGAACUUAGCUAGACUCUGAGAUUGUAUAUAUAAGAUAUUGAUUCAGAUUCUUGUUUGUGUGUGCGACUGUGAGUUUUCAAGGAUUCAUGUAACUCAUUGUGGCUUGAUUUGAUUUGUACAGAUGGUUUCUUGUCCUUGGGUUACACAGAGGCUAGCUGCUGGGGACAGACUUUCUGUUAGAGUGUUCCUGAGGAGAAUCAAUGGAACCCUUACUCCUGCUGAAGAGAAUGAAAUGGUGAGACUAUUUAUUUUCUCUCUAAAGCAAUAUGGAAGAUGUAUGGUCUUGUGUAACGUCUCAAAAUGUAUUUGUUAUUCAGGUUUCGAGGAUCGUUAGAGAGCCACUCACUCUCGUCAACAACCACACUCGCUUCUUAUGUGAGUAAGGUCACAUAGACUCUCAGUUUAAUGGUUGACCAUUUCCAUGAUUGCAACUUUUGAUUUUGUUGUGUGCUUGCUACUUACAUCUUUCUAGACCUAUUACAUUUUGUGUAACAUGAUUCCUAUUUUUCAUAGAAUUGUUUUUAGAAAUGGAAACCCAAAGGAAAAAUCAACUAAAACACUUAUCUUUGAACGUAGAGGAAAAUCGAACUCUAUAUUCGUAGGACGAUUACACAUAACAACUUUUUAGCACGUGACAUAGGUAGAAACUAAUGCAUAGUUUCGUUAUUUGGUUUUUUUUUAUUAUAAUACUUUUUCUACAAAUAAAAUCGGGAGUAUUACGUUACAAAGCACCCAGCCGAGACCCAUACUAAUUAACAUUCAACACACGUCAAUCUCGUUUACUAGAUUCAACCAUUCUUAAUAAUUAUAUUAUGUAUAUAUAUGCAUAUUAGUAAAUAUCCCACACAACGUUUAUGAUUACAGAUAUUUCUUUAUUAUUUCAAACCAUCUGUAAAGCUAAACUUUAAUUCUAAGGACGAAAUUUAUGGAGCAACAUAGAGCAAAAACAAAGUUACAAAAACGAGCAAGAACAUGAAUCAAACCAUCUGAUACUGGAAGCAAGCCCGUAUCAAUCUCGUUUUGAUGCCAGAUAUUAGCGAUAAUCUUGAUCAAUUUUCACAUUUGCACCAAAAAAAAAAAAAAUCUUGAUCGAUUUUUAGAACUAACAACACGAACACUUUUUUGGUAGUUAUGACUUAUGACUACUUUAGGGUUUUCAUUAAAUUAAAUAGAAUAAAGUACAUGGAAGCAAAUUGUUCAUCAUGAUGAUCAUACAACUUAGAAACACGAGAAAAUGGAGAAACUAUUUCAUUUUUUUAUGAAACAAGAGACACUAUUUCAUAUCACACCUGAAAAAGUGUAUCCUGGUAUACCGUGGUAUAUUACAUGAGGUUUCUGAUGAAACAACCUGCAUGAAAGAUACUAAUCCUACGUCAAGUGCAAGCUCUUGCUGAAAGGAUUAAUGAACAUCUUUUGGCUUUCUAGGCGAAAAAGAGUACCUUGUUUCAAGAAUGAAACGACUUGAAUAAAACUAAACAAAUAAAUAUAAGACGCAAUAUAUAUGAUUAUGUUUCCAAAUACAUGAUGCUCCAUUGUGAUUGGAGAAGUUGAAGCACAUCAUCCCAAAUAUAGUUGAAGCACCUGAUGAGCUUCAUCGUGAUUGGAGAAGCCUCCACAAUUUUGGCUCAAGCUGUUAACUCCUUUUGUUCAACUUCUUAAGCAUGUGCAACGGUAAUAAUCAAGCAAUCCUUAACAUAAAUCCUUAAUGCUUUUUGAUUAAAGAAAUAUUAAAAGAGGAGAGGAAAGUUAAGGAUGAUCCUUAAUUAAGGAUUAAAAAUCGAAGUCCUUAUCUUGCUGGCACAUAUUGAUUGGUCCGUUUUUUAUGUUGACUCUGGUAAGGCGAGUUCGAAAACACGCGAACCGUUCUCAUUUUUUCAGAAACCCGAAAAAAAAAAGCAGAGCAGAAGGCGAGGCGAUAGGGAGACGACAGAGAGGCCAAUUGCGAUCUCGAUCCGUG